rnacentral:lncRNA from 1 species
UAGGAAAAACCCAGAUCCAAACAGAACCCAACAAGAACUAAAGCAGAUAAAAGAAGCAGUGCAGAAUUAAAAGGUUUUCUAAACAAAUCCAUGAUGGAAUUGGAAUUUGAUGUAGGAUUAUUUGACUAGGAGCUUGAUUUUUUUGGUACUGCUAUGCACUAACUGUAUGUAUAAGAAACAAAUCUUCUGGGUGAGUUGGUACUCCCAACCCCCAACAAGUGGGAAUCAAACUCAUGAUCUUUUGUUUAUUCUCGGAUGCUGUUGGUCUAGGAGCGUGAUUUGCAAGUGCCUUCAAUGGUUAUAUAGCAAACUAUUACUAGGAAGAGGAUUAUAAUGCCCACUAUUAUUCCGAACGUUAUGGGAUCCAUCAUUUAUGCUUUUUUUUCUUUCUUUCUUUCUUUCGUUUAUUGGAUAUAUAUUUGUUCCUUAACUAUGUACUCUCCCUUCUGUUCCGUGUUUAUGUUUAUUUUCCCUUCCUUUAUCACGCUGGCAGCAACAUUCAGUGCAGCUUUAACAUGAACUACAUUUCCAAUUCCUAGACUAAUUGACUCAAAUAAAUAAAAAAUGGUUCUAUUAACAGUAUUUUAUCAUCUUAUGGAUAAUUAUUCAAAACAAAUUCACUACCACACUCUUGAAUUUAGCAGAACCAACCACUAUAUAAUAGAUUUUUAAAUUAGAGUAACUAUAUAACUUAUUUACUUCUAAGAUUUUUCCCACUAAUUUUUUGGGACACUUUAAUUUCUACUUUGACUAAUAUUGUGUACUAUUAAGAAUAUAUUUUCACCUUCUUUAUUAAGAAGAUAUAUUUUGUACUACACUGUAGUUAAUCAAUUAACUAGUUACUUAUAUCAGUUUGUUUUUGUGAACUUGUGUGCGAUAAUCGAUUAUCUGAUUAAUAGUUUUGUUUUCUAUUUUAGUUGUUGUUAUAUAUAAAGGGGUAUUCCUCUCAUCUUUGUAAUCAAUACAUUAAUGAAAAAUAAUAUUUAGUGAAAGUUUUGAUUCUCGUUUUAUUUUCUUUCUUCUUUUUUUUAAGUUUUCUUUCUCAUUCAUUCAUUUCUUAUCCUUCUUGUUCAUGAAAAAUGUUUCUUUUAUGGCUCAUACCAAACUUUAACAGGGUAGCAGAAUAAAUUAAUUAUACACUUCAUGUUGUUGCGCCCUUAAUUCUCUUUUUCUUGAUCAAAUCUUUCUCCUUCUUCAUCAUCACCAAAUUUCCAAUUCCUCUGCUUCACUCCUUCAGUUCACUCAUCACCACUACCAACUCCACAAAACCAUCAAGAAUACUCAUUAUUCUCUCACAUUGCACUUAUUGGACUGAAAUAGUCACACAAUAUUAAGAAGAAGUGAGAGUGUAUUAUUUAUUAACAGAGCUCAUAUCUGCUUAGAAAAAGGUACAUGGAAAAGGUAUCUCUUAACAAAACAUACUAAGAAAUCAAUAACCAAAAAAAUAAAAUACCUAAACCAGAUAGUUCUUUAUCCUCGCUAUAAUGAUGAUGAUCAUGGUCACGGGGAUAACCAAACCCAUAUAAUUUAAAAUCCUCCUCCUCAGCUAACUCUUCAGGAAGCAAUGUUCUCUCCUUGGCAUCAUCACUAUGAUGAUGGUGGUGCUGAUGGGCAUGAGCAUGGCCAUGUCCUCCACACUGAUGAUGGUUAUGGUCAUGGGAGUGAGAGUGAGAGUGAGAGUAGGAAAAACCCAGAUCCAAACAGAACCCAACAAGAACUAAAGCAGAUAAAAGAAGCAGUGCAGAAUUAAAAGGUUUUCUAAACAAAUCCAUGAUGGAAUUGGAAUUUGAUGUAGGAUUAUUUGACUAGGAGCUUGAUUUUUUUGGUACUGCUAUGCACUAACUGUAUGUAUAAGAAACAAAUCUUCUGGGUGAGUUGGUACUCCCAACCCCCAACAAGUGGGAAUCAAACUCAUGAUCUUUUGUUUAUUCUCGGAUGCUGUUGGUCUAGGAGCGUGAUUUGCAAGUGCCUUCAAUGGUUAUAUAGCAAACUAUUACUAGGAAGAGGAUUAUAAUGCCCACUAUUAUUCCGAACGUUAUGGGAUCCAUCAUUUAUGCUUUUUUUUCUUUCUUUCUUUCUUUCGUUUAUUGGAUAUAUAUUUGUUCCUUAACUAUGUACUCUCCCUUCUGUUCCGUGUUUAUGUUUAUUUUCCCUUCCUUUAUCACGCUGGCAGCAACAUUCAGUGCAGCUUUAACAUGAACUACAUUUCCAAUUCCUAGACUAAUUGACUCAAAUAAAUAAAAAAUGGUUCUAUUAACAGUAUUUUA